AGCCCCUGCCCACCGCACACUGCGCUGUGCCAGACCCACUGUGCGUGUGACAGCGGCUGA
rnacentral:pre_miRNA from 1 species